UAGCCUAGGCAGCGCGUGCAUUGCACCAGA
rnacentral:sRNA from 1 species